CACGCCCCCAGUAACCCAGUACGAUUUCCUGCAAAUUCCAAAGUCAGAUCCCGGCUGGAACAUUUCAGCCCGCCUGCCACGUCAGUUUGCCUUCACCAUCCUCCCUCUCUCUCUCCCUCUCUCCCUCCCUCUCUCUCUCUCUACUUCUCCUUCGCCCCCUUUCUCUCCUUCACAGCGACGAGGACUGCUGGAGGCUUUGACCGUAGUCAAGGUUUUAGGUUAAAAGGUUUGUCUCUGACCAGCGGUGUUCUCGUCACAACCCAGGGUUUUUAGCCGUCCUGGUGGAGAGUGUCGUGGCCUGGGGACCAGGUCUUCGCUGGAUCUCGGGGCACUGACCUGCAGGCAGAACGACCUCGAGGCCCUUCCUCCCCGCGGCCCCCCCUCACCCCCCCGCCUGCCCAGUGUUCAGACUACCUGUUCAUCAGGCUGCAGCUGAACAGUAGUCUGCACAUUGGUUAGGCUGGGCCGGGACACACACACACACAAGCCAGGAGGACCUCUGAGCGUGGUCUCGGGUCGACAUCGACGGAGCGAGCGGGGUCCCCAGGAAGCAGCCUGGUGUGACAGCCUGGUGUGACAGCCUGGUGUGACAGCCUGGUGUGACAGCCUGGUGUGACAGCCUGGUGUGACUGCCUGGUGUGACUGCCUGGUGUGACUGCCUGGUGUGACUGCCUGGUGUGACUGCCUGGUGUGACUGCCUGGUGUGACUGCCUGGUGUGACUGCCUGGUGUGACUGCCUGGUGUGACUGCCUGGUGUGACUGCCUGGUGUGACUGCCUGGUGUGACUGCCUGGUGUGACUGCCUGGUGUGACAGCCUGGCUCCCAGCAGCAUCAGAGCUGUCCCCCCCCCCCCCCCCCCCACCCUUGUUUGAGUGUGCCUGCAUGCCGGAAGGGGAGUCUCUCACCUCCUCGUCUUUGUACCAGGAGAGGGACUCUGCCGUCAGGACGAACCAGUACUCUUUGGACCCGCCCUUCAUGAUGCUGAUGUUGAGGGUGAGCCAGCCUUUGCGGAUCACCUGGGAGAUGAAGAAGGGGUGGGGGGGGGGGGUGUCAGGAGGUUGGAGUGAGAAACAGGUUUGUCGUUCAGACUGAUUGAAUUAGUGAUGUGAGGCGUCAGUGAGCAGUUCAGCUGCUCACGAGGCCGUGCUGUGUGGCAUCUAAACCCUGUCCUGACGAAAUAAAAGCUGCAACUGAUUACGGAGUGACUUUUUUUUCUUCCUCGUUUUCCUCCAGUCCUAACAGUCCGUUGACCUCGCCUACUCCCUUCCUACUCCUGGUGAAACGAAACUAUUCUCGGAGACUCCGCUCGCCUCAACACUUUCAAUUACCCUUACUUACCCUGUAAUUAUUCGUUACUUACUCUGUGAUUAUGAUGUGUGUUCCCUGUGCAUACAGUAUACAAAAGCAUAAUUU